rnacentral:tRNA from 1 species
GUUUUAAUAGUUUAUAAAAAUAUUGGUCUUGUAAGCCAAAGAUAAGAUUGUUCUUUUAAAACU